GACGCCGCCGGUCCGCUGCCCUCGUCGCCGGAUCCACCACCCUCACCGCCAGCCAAUGCCGCCAGAUCCGCUGCCCUCACCGCCGGAUCCGCUGCCCUCGCCGCUCGCCGACGCCAUCGCCUUGCCCGUGUCGGCGAGAAGAGAGGAUAGGAGAGGAGAGGACAGAAAGAGAGAGAGGGAGAGAGAGGUGAUAAAAGAGGGAGAAAUAAAUGGGUGGUCGAAAAAUUUUAAA
rnacentral:lncRNA from 1 species